CAUAAUUUCCCUAAUCACAGCAAGUCCUGUGAGAUGCCUCACAUCUCACAGGACUUUACAGGACUUGUUUGCCUUUAUGGACUUUGGCAAACAAGGCUCCAGGAGAUUAGGUGAAAAAUUUGCAGUCGAGACGGCCAGAACUGCAGAAGUGGCUUUCUCCACAGCACAAGAUGGCUUCCUUCUCCUCGCCCACAGCUGGUAGUAAACAAUGAGAUUUGCAAAGAAAACUCCAAAGGACAAACAAUAAUAUCGGGUUCCACAGCUGGUGAAUGAAUAAACAUACUUGGGUUGUUUCCAGGUUUGGAUUAUAAAUAAUGCUCUGAGACCAUUUUCACGCAA